GGACCUGACUGCUAUCGGAUUGAUACUAAGCCAUGCGAGUCAUUGUAGCAAUACAAGGCAUACGGCUCAGUAACGCGUAGUCAACCUAACCUAUGGACGGGAAUAACCUCGGGAAACUGAGAAUAAUGCCCGAUAGAGCAUUAUGCCUGGAAUGGUUUAUGUUCCAAAUGAUUUAUCGCCGUAGGAUGGGACUGCGGCCUAUCAGUUUGUUGGUGAGGUAAUGGCCCACCAAGACUAUUACAGGUACGGGCUCUGAGAGGAGUAGCCCGGAGAUGGGUACUGAGACACGGACCCAGGCCCUAUGGGGCGCAGCAGGCGAGAAAACUUUGCAAUGUGCGAAAGCACGACAAGGUUAAUCCGAGUGGUUUCUGCUAAAGAAACCUUUUGUCAGUCCUAGAAACACUGAUGAAUAAGGGGUGGGCAAGUUCUGGUGU
rnacentral:rRNA from 1 species